rnacentral:rRNA from 1 species
UUCCUACGGGGGGCUGCAGUGGGGAAUUUUGGACAAUGGGGGCAACCCUGAUCCAGCCAUGCCGCGUGAGUGAAGAAGGCCUUCGGGUUGUAAAGCUCUUUCGGCCGGGAAGAAAUCGGCGACUCUAACAUAGUCGCUGGAUGACGGUACCGGACUAAGAAGCACCGGCUAACUACGUGCCAGCAGCCGCGGUAAUACGUAGGGUGCGAGCGUUAAUCGGAAUUACUGGGCGUAAAGCGUGCGCAGGCGGUUUUGGAAGACAGAUGUGAACUCCCCGGGCUUAACCUGGGAACUGCGUUUGUGACUGCAAGGCUAGAGUACGGCAGAGGGGGGUGGAAUUCCACGUGUAGCAGUGAAAUGCGUAGAGAUGUGGAGGAACACCGAUGGCGAAGGCAGCCCCCUGGGCCUGUACUGACGCUCAUGCACGAAAGCGUGGGGAGCAAACAGGAUUAGAUACCCUAGUAGUC